GGUUAGUACUCCCCUUGAUAAGGAUGGAAGAGGUCCUAGUGACCUUUACAACAUGCAUAUGGUUAAGGCAUUGCCACUUACUUUGUGGCAUCUAACAUUGUUAAUGU
rnacentral:ncRNA from 1 species